AACGAACGCUGGCGGCAGGCCUAACACAUGCAAGUCGAGCGAGGACUUCGGUUCUAGCGGCGGACGGGUGAGUAACGCGUGGGAAUGUGCCCUUCUCUACGGAAUAGCCCUGGGAAACUGGGAGUAAUACCGUAUACGCCCUAUUGGGGAAAGAUUUAUCGGAGAAGGAUCAGCCCGCGUUGGAUUAGGUAGUUGGUGGGGUAAUGGCCUACCAAGCCGACGAUCCAUAGCUGGUUUGAGAGGAUGAUCAGCCACACUGGAACUGAGACACGGCCCAGACUCCUACGGGAGGCAGCAGUAGGGAAUCUUAUACAAUGGAGGCAACCCUGAUCUAGCCAUGCCGCGUGAGUGAUGAAGGCCUUAGGGUUGUAAAGCUCUUUCAGCUGGGAAGAUAAUGACGGUACCAGCAGAAGAAGCCCCGGCUAACUCCGUG
rnacentral:rRNA from 1 species